rnacentral:rRNA from 1 species
UACGAACCGUGCGAACGUUGUUCGGAUUCACUGGGCUUAAAGGGCGCGUAGGCGGACAAUCGAGUCGGGGGUGAAAUCUUUCAGCUUAACUGGAAACGUGCCUCCGAUACUGGUUGUCUCGAGGGAGGUAGGGGCAUGCGGAACUUCCGGUGGAGCGGUGAAAUGCGUAGAUAUUUGGAGGAAUACCGAUGGCGAAGGCAGCCCCCUGGGCCAAUACUGACGCUCAUGCACGAAAGCGUGGGGAGCAAACAGG